UUUUUAUGGAGAGUUUGAUCCUGGCUCAGGACGAACGCUGGCGGCGUGCCUAAUACAUGCAAGUCGAGCGAACAGAGAAGGAGCUUG
rnacentral:rRNA from 1 species